rnacentral:rRNA from 1 species
AUUGAACGCUGGCGGCAGGCUUAACACAUGCAAGUCGAGCGGGGUGAUGGUGCUUGCACUAUCACUUAGCGGCGGACGGGUGAGUAAUGCUUAGGAAUCUGCCUAUUAGUGGGGGACAACAUCUCGAAAGGGAUGCUAAUACCGCAUACGUCCUACGGGAGAAAGCAGGGGAUCACUUGUGACCUUGCGCUAAUAGAUGAGCCUCAGUCGGAUUAGCUAGUUGGUGGGGUAAAGGCCUACCAAGGCGACGAUCUGUAGCGGGUCUGGGAGGAUGAUCCGACACACUGGGACUGAGACACGGCCCAGACUCCUACGGGAGGCAGCAGUGGGGAAUAUUGGACAAUGGGGGGAACCCUGAUCCAGCCAUGCCGCGUGUGUGAGGAAGGCCUUAUGGUUGUAAAGCACUUUAAGCGAGGAGGAGGCUCUUUUGGUUAAUACCCAAGAUGAGUGGACGUUACUCGCAGAAUAAGCACCGGCUAACUCUGUGCCAGCCGCCGCAGUAA